rnacentral:rRNA from 1 species
UACGAAGGGGGCUAGCGUUGCUCGGAAUCACUGGGCGUAAAGGGUGCGUAGGCGGGUCUUUAAGUCAGGGGUGAAAUCCUGGAGCUCAACUCCAGAACUGCCUUUGAUACUGAGGAUCUUGAGUUCGGGAGAGGUGAGUGGAACUGCGAGUGUAGAGGUGAAAUUCGUAGAUAUUCGGAAGAACACCAGUGGCGAAGGCGGCUCACUGGACCGGCAUUGACACUGAUGUGCGAAAGCGUGGGGAGCAAACAGG